AAUAAACCAAUUUUUCACUUUUUAUCUACAAUUUUUGACUCUUCGUCUUAUUCAAAUUUUUUUUGCGAUUGAUAUUUUUGUUUUUAUUAGAUGAUAAAUCAUGAAUAGUAUUUUAUGUGUGACUAAUUUUUUUCCUAAUUUUCUGAAAAUUUUUCAAAUAAGACGGAUGGUCAAACGUUGGACACGAAAACCGGAGAAUUGGCUUUUU
rfam:Oryza brachyantha chromosome 6, whole genome shotgun sequence.